AGAGUUUGAUCCUGGCUCAGGAUGAACGCUAGCGGCAGGCUUAACACAUGCAAGUCGAGGGGUAACAGGAGAGCUUGCUCUCGCUGACGACCGGCGCACGGGUGAGUAACGCGUAUGCAACCUACUUUUUACUGGAGAAUAGCUCCGAGAAAUCGGGAUUAAUACUCCAUAACAUUUUCGAAAUGGCAUCAUUUUGAAAUUAAAGCUCCGGCGGUAAUUAAUGGGCAUGCGUGACAUUAGCUAGUUGUGAGGUAACGGCUCACCAAGGCUGCGAUGUCUAGGGGGUCUUAAAGGAUGAUCCCCCACACUGGUACUGAGACACGGACCAGACUCCUACGGGAGGCAGCAGUAGGAAUAUUGGGCAAUGGACGCAAGUCUGACCCAGCCAUGCCGCGUGCAGGAUGACUGCCCUAUGGGUUGUAAACUGCUUUUAUACAGGAAGAAAAGUCUCUACGUGUAGAGAACUGACGGUACUGUAAGAAUAAGGAUCGGCUAACUCCGUGCCAGCAGCCGCGGUAAUACGGAGGAUCCAGGCGUUAUCCGGAUUUAUUAGGUUUAAAGGGUGCGUAGGCGGGAUAAUAAGUCAGUGGUGAAAGCCUGCAGCUUAACUGUAGAAUUGCCAUUGAUACUGUUGUUCUUGAGUAUAGUUGAGGUGGGCGGAAUGUGUCAUGUAGCGGUGAAAUGCUUAGAUAUGACACAGAACACCGAUUGUGUAGGCAGCUCACUAAACUAUCACUGACGCUGAGGCACGAAAGCGUGGGGAGCGAACAGGAUUAGAUACCCUGGUAGUCCACGCUGUAAACGAUGAUUACUCGUUGUGCGCGAUAUAUUGUGCGUGACUGAGCGAAAGCAUUAAGUAAUCCACCUGGGGAGUACGUCGGCAACGAUGAAACUCAAAGGAAUUGACGGGGGCCCGCACAAGCAGAGGAACAUGUGGUUUAAUUCGAUGAUACGCGAGGAACCUUACCUGGGCUUAAAUGUAGAUUGACUUUUCUCGAAAGAGGAUUUCCCUUCGGGGCAAUCUACAAGGUGCUGCAUGGUUGUCGUCAGCUCGUGCCGUGAGGUGUCGGGUUAAGUCCCAUGACGAGCGCAACCCUUAUCGUUAGUUGCCAGCGGGUAAUGCCGGGGACUCUAACGAAACUGCCAGUGUAAACUGUGAGGAAGGUGGGGAUGACGUCAAAUCAGCACGGCCCUUAUGUCCAGGGCUACACACGUGUUACAAUGGCCGAUACAAAGGGAUGCUACCUGGUAACAGGAUGCAAAUCUCUAAAGUCGGUCUCAGUUCGGAUCGAAGUCUGCAACUCUACUUCGUGAAGUUGGAUUCGCUAGUAAUCGUAUAUCAGCAAUGAUACGGUGAAUACGUUCCCGGGCCUUGUACACACCGCCCGUCAAGCCAUGGAAGCUGGGGGGACCUAAAGCCUGUAACCGCAAGGAGCGGCCUAGGGUAAAACCAGUAACUGGGGCUAAGUCGUAACAAGGUA
rnacentral:rRNA from 1 species